AAACAAAGGAUGCUCAUGAUAAGAAGCUUGAGUCAGCUUCAUUUGUCUCUUUACUUUUUAUAAGAAACAGGUAAACCAUUGAUGUGAAAAUGUAUAUACAUGAUGUAGUGGACAAUUGGACAUAGGAAAUAUAACACUAAACCGCUAUUCAGGCCAAACCUGAUUCUGUCUACUUUGUUGUCAGCAGGUGUGUGUGUGUGUUUGCCUCUCCUGAUUCCAUUAGAGGCGCAGAAGUUGAUGUCAAGAAACUAAAUAAGCGCCCGGCUCCCCCUCGGUUUGGAAGAAAGUUAACCCGACCGAGACUCAGAAGGCUAAUUAGUAACUUGAUCUAGUGCUUAGAUGGUGUUGGUUCAUCUGAACAUUUUCUCUCUGUUUUGCAGGCAAGAGCUACUCACAUUUGUCUUGACUGUGGAUUCAUAUACACUUUACCCAAACCUUUUGAUGAACAGCCGGAAACAUAUGUAUGUCCUCAAUGUAUAGCACCGAAGAAAAGGUUUGCGAGGUAUGACGUGAACACAGGGAAGGCCAUAGGAGGAGGGUUUCCUCCUAUCGGUGUUAUUGUUGCCUUAUUAGCGGUCUUUGUAUUGAUGACGUUUAUUUAAAUUUGUCUUAUAUCAAACAAGUCGCGUUGUUGUGAUUGUAAACUGAGAAUGAAGGUUAACGACAUCAAUUUCAGAGUUUAAUUCAGUUUCAGAUAAUGACAUUAUUAAAAAU